CUUUGAGUCUCCAAUCGCCAACCUUCAUUGUGCGAAUCUAGAGUUCCAUCGUUGGUUUGAUUUGCUCUAUCAACUCCUAACUCCAAAUAAGCAAUGUAUUGAUUGUGCCGACACCAUUAUUCCAGUGAGGUGAGGUGGCUGUUUGUUUUGGUUCAGUGGUUGUGCAAUCCAUGCUACUUUCAGCGUUGUGACUUCGCGAGCUUCACUGUACAUGGAUGAGUCUUAAUUGAUUAUAUUGAUUGAAUCAAGAGCUUUGUGUGGUAUUUUUUGGUCAUUUAUAUAUUCUCUUAUGUGAGCUAUGGAGUGCUAUUGUAGGACUUUCUCUUCUUUUAAAUAGGCAUACUUGGCAACAUCAAUUGACUUGAAUUUACUGAUUCAGAUAUAUUCUUUUCAUAUAUGUUUAAUGUACUUGAAUUAAAUUUAGUAUUCAUUUUCUUUUAGAUUUUAUCAUUGGUAUCUGGUUUUUAUUACACUUUUGAGUAAUCUUUUUUACAUAUGUUUAAUUUACUGGAUUGAAAAAAUUUAAAGGCUCUAACAUCGAAUGGAUCUCCCCUUCUUAAUCAUGCAGGAGCGUCAGCCCUUGAGCUGGAAAUAUUACACAAAAGAAAUUGGUCCUCGCUUGGUAGACAUGUACUAAGAGGCAUGUGAAAGUAUGUGAGGCAUCCG
rnacentral:lncRNA from 1 species